rnacentral:lncRNA from 1 species
GAAAGCUUUUAGAAAUGAAAAUUAUACAAAAAUUAGGCUAUCAAUGCUAAAGACUUCUUUUUUGUUACUACUAACUGAAAUACAUUUAUAUCUUCUAUCAGUAUAAAAAUCGUCAUUGUAAUGGGUAGUACAACAUGAAUAUUUUCUUUAACUGAAUGUAUUCACAUUUUCAAUACAGAGCCAUUUCCAGCAAGUCUCAUCAGUCUAUGCCUUUCUCUUUCGUGAAGUUCCAUUAAGUUCUGAAGUGGGUACUUGCAGCAAUUGCUGCUGCUGCUGCUGCUGCUUCUUCGCGGUAGAGGAGAUCCAUUCUUCUGAGCUAGACAAAAACAUAGCACAGUACCUUAUAAACCAAGCCUUUUCUAUAUUUUUUAUAUAUAUUUGAUAUAAUUGAUGCAAAAGCACAGAGCUCCCACUAGUAUAAAAAUUAUAAACCCCCAUAUUUAUGUACAGUUUCUUAUUCUUGGAAUUGUUUUGUUGAAAUGAGGAAUAGCAUCAGGCUAAUACUAGAUGGUUUAAGUAUAUAACCAGUUAAGUUCUACAUGUGGAUAAAAAAAUUAACAACAAAUAUAAAGAGACAUAGUAAUAUAGUAAAAACUAGUUCUGAGAUUUAGAGAACACAAGUACUAAGAUUUAAAUAGUCUCAAAAAUAUGACCACAGUUCAGCAGCAACAAUGGUGUUGCUGAGGAGAGACAUGAGAAAUGGAAAAGUCAGUUCCAUGCCAUCUUGAAGAUACAGACUUACAGAUUUCCCUGAUACUUUUUUUGGGUGUACCAAUGCUCAGUAGCCACAGAGGCAAUAUAGAACUAUGUGCCCACAGGUAAAGAUAACUGUCUUAAAUACUUUAACAUCAGCUCACCUCAGACAGUUACUUAGAAAAAGUUAUACAAGAAUGAUUCUUUCUCUGUUCAUCUGUCUAGUAUUUGACAUCACACCUUAAAAAAAUUUACAGACCAAGCCAUCUCAACUAUUUCUGGGGUGUAACAGAGUUGAAUACAUGGGGAAUGCGAAUGAUGCCAAUCAAUCAGUUCAAACAGAGAAACAGAGUUAGCAAGCAAAUCUUCGUAUCGAAGAUUUGUAUUUGUAUAUUAAAUAACAGCAGAAACUUUAAAGGAAAUAAAAAUUACCUUGAAAAUCAGCCUUACAACUUACUUGUUGGUUGCUGUAUAUAAAUAUGCUUUUAAAAAAAUUAUAUAUCUCCCAUGCAAAAAAAAAA